rnacentral:rRNA from 1 species
UGGGGAAUCUUAGACAAUGGGCGCAAGCCUGAUCUAGCGAUGCCGCGUGAGUGACGAAGGCCUUCGGGUUGUAAAGCCCUUUCACCGGGGACGAUGAUGACGGUACCCGGAGAAGAAGCACCGGCUAACUCCGUGCCAGCAGCCGCGGUAAGACGGAGGGUGCUAGCGUUGUUCGGAAUCACUGGGCGUAAAGGGCGCGUAGGCGGCGUCGCAAGUCGGCUUGUGAAAGCCCGGGGCUCAACCCCGGAGGUGCGGCCGAGACUGCGGUGCUCGAGGCCGGAAGAGGAGGGUGGAAUACCCAGUGUAGAGGUGAAAUUCGUAGAUAUUGGGUGGAACACCGGUGGCGAAAGCGGCUCUCUGGUCCGGUACUGACGCUGAGGCGCGAAAGCGUGGGGAGCAA